rnacentral:rRNA from 1 species
UACAGAGGGGGCAAGCGUUGUUCGGAAUUACUGGGCGUAAAGGGCGCGUAGGCGGCCUGUUAAGUCGAACGUGAAAUCCCCGGGCUCAACCCGGGAACUGGCGUCCGAGUACUGGCAGGCUUGAAUCCGGGAGAGGGAUGUGGAAUUCCAGGUGUAGCGGUGAAAUGCGUAGAUAUCUGGAGGAACACCGGUGGCGAAGGCGG